UAGGGAAUCUUCGGCAAUGGGGGCAACCCUGACCGAGCAACGCCGCGCGAGUGAAGAAGGUUUUCGGAUCGUAAAGCUCUGUUGUAAGAGAAGAACGUGUGUGAGAGUGGAAAGUUCACACAGUGACGGUAACUUACCAGAAAGGGACGGCUAACUACGUGCCAG
rnacentral:rRNA from 1 species